rnacentral:sRNA from 1 species
AAUCGGGUACGCGUACCUGAUGAGGUCC